rnacentral:rRNA from 1 species
GACGAACGCUGGCGGCGGGCUUAACACAUGCAAGUCGAACGGAAAGGCCCUACUUUUGUGGGGUGCUCGAGUGGCGAACGGGUGAGUAACACGUGAGUAACCUGCCCUUGACUUUGGGAUAACUUCAGGAAACUGGGGCUAAUACCGGAUAGGAGCUCCUGCUGCAUGGUGGGGGUUGGAAAGUUUCGGCGGUUGGGGAUGGACUCGCGGCUUAUCAGCUUGUUGGUGGGGUAGUGGCUUACCAAGGCUUUGACGGGUAGCCGGCCUGAGAGGGUGACCGGCCACAUUGGGACUGAGAUACGGCCCAGACUCCUACGGGAGGCAGCAGUGGGGAAUAUUGCACAAUGGGCGGAAGCCUGAUGCAGCAACGCCGCGUGCGGGAUGACGGCCUUCGGGUUGUAAACCGCUUUCGCCUGUGACGAAGCGUGAGUGACGGUAAUGGGCAAAGAAGCACCGGCUAACUACGUG